UACGAAGGGGGCUAGCGUUGCUCGGAAUCACUGGGCGUAAAGCGCACGUAGGCGGAUUGUUAAGUCAGGGGUGAAAUCCUGGAGCUCAACUCCAGAACUGCCUUUGAUACUGGCGAUCUCGAGUCCGGGAGAGGUGAGUGGAACUGCGAGUGGAGAGGUGAAAUUCGUAGAUAUUCGCAAGAACACCAGUGGCGAAGGCGGCUCACUGGCCCGGUACUGACGCUGAGGUGCGAAAGCGUGGGGAGCAAACAGGG
rnacentral:rRNA from 1 species